AGAAUGAUCAGGGAAGACAUGACUGAAAUGAUGCUUUCUGGGUAAAGAUUGAAGGAUAUGAGGAGAGGGUCAUGUAGCUGUUUGAUCGAAGAGCAUUCUUGGCAGAGGAAAUGCCAGGCCAAAGUCUCUAUGGCAGGACUACACUAGGAGAGAUAAAAUGUUCUACAGGAAUCAAAGCUUGUCAUUCACUCAGGCCCUCACUUGGUGGCAGUAUGUUAGAGAAGACUGCUUGUUCCAGAGCCUGGUUCUCAGCUUUGCAAUCUACAGAUGGUUCAUUCUAGCCACGUGUGCAAGGAUGUGAUAUACUAGAGUGCACAUUGAUUACUUGAACUUCCUUGAAAUAUCAUUUUCAAGACAAGACUACUAAGGACUAAUCUUCAUCAUCAUCAUCAUCAUUAACAUAAUCACAGCUGACAUUUACUGAACAUUAGCAAUGUGGUAAGCACUGCAGUAGGAGUUUUCACGUGUCUACUCAUGUAAUCCUCAAUGCAACCUUAAAGAAGACUACAAUGCCAGCAUCUGGGAUAACUACUAGAAUGUUCUCUGCCAUCCACUAAGCAUUGAAUCCCUCCAGACACUGUUACAACAGACAAAAACCUGUACUGGGCUAC
rnacentral:lncRNA from 10 species